AGGGGUUACUUUACCAUUUUUUAAAUUCUUGUUUAUCUGUGCUCACCUUUGAUUAACUUCAAUUAUUUAGCUCUGCUCAUUAAUCGGCCUUUUCAGCAGAAGCUCAAGCUCUUCGUCUCCAUUUUUGAACAUUUCGCUGUUCAUCUCCAUCUUUGAUUGUCACCAAUAAUUGACUGUGCCUGUAAUUCCUACCGACUUGCUACUGUCCUUCUGAUGGCGUCGUCGGCUCGAACAAUGGAUAGAAGGGUGGGCGGAGACGACGAUUUCUUUGCGGGCGUGGGUUUUGCUGACGAAGCAUGAAUGUACGAUGGAGUAGACCAUGGACGAGCUGGAUAAGACGAGGGCGAUGGCUUUGUAGGCUUGGAUUCGGAUGAGUAUGAAUUAGAAGAAGAUGAAAUGGAAUAGUAUCAUUUUGGAAAAUGCCGAUUCCGACAAUGAGGAUGGAAUUGAAUUUGAAUGCAAUUUUAUGAAUGAUGAUUUAUACACCGUUGAUUUUGGAAAAGUGUAAGGUUAGAUUGAUUUUGUGAGCUUGAGCAAGGAGGAAGUUUGAUGCUUUAGUUUUGCAGAUGUUGAAAUUGCAUUUGACUUCUACCAGGCCUAUGCAAAGCGUCAUGAUUUUAGUGGGAGAGAUUCCAGGACUGAAAAGUGUGGCAAAGUGAGGAUACGGCAGGACUUUUGUAAUACUUUAACUUUUAAUACCUUAUAAUUACAUUAAAAGUCUAGGGGCUACUUACUUCUA